rnacentral:piRNA from 1 species
UUCUGCUUCCCUGUUCCCCUCCACUGCCA